rnacentral:hammerhead_ribozyme from 1 species
AUCCAGUUGACGAGUCUCAAAUAGGACGAAACGCAAGUUCCGGAU